GACGAACGCUGGCGGCGUGCUUAACACAUGCAAGUCGAACGGAAAGGCCCUGCUUUUGUGGUGUGCUCGAGUGGCGAACGGGUGAGUAACACGUGAGUAACCUGCCCUUGACUUUGGGAUAACUUCAGGAAACUGGGGCUAAUACCGGAUAGGAUCUCCUGCUGCAUGGUGGGGGUUGGAAAGUUUCGGCGGUUGGGGAUGGACUCGCGGGUUAUCAGCUUGUUGGUGGGGUAGUGGCUUACCAAGGCUUUGACGGGUAGCCGGCCUGUGAGGGUGACUGGCCACAUUGGGACUGAGGUACGGCCCAGAAUCCUACGGGAGGCAGCAGUGGGGAAUAUUGCACAAUGGGCGGAAGCCUGAUGCAGCAACGCCGCGUGCGGGAUGACGGCCUUCGGGUUGUAAACCGCUUUCGCCUGUGACGAAGCGUGAGUGACGGUAAUGGGUAAAGAAGCACCGGCUAACUACGUG
rnacentral:rRNA from 1 species